rnacentral:lncRNA from 1 species
GUGUUAGCCCUCAGUUUGAAUGCGGCCGUCUGUUAAAAAUCCGUAAGUGGUGAGAAGAAGGGGGGGGGGGGGGGGGGGGGGGGGGGGGGGGAGGCGGAAUUCCUUGUCUGAAGAGAAGCAAAAACAAGUUACACAUGUGGGCAAUUUUCCAAGAACCCGAAGUAUACUCCGGUUAAAAAACACAAUUCCAAAUGAGGUUUGUAAUCUCAGCAGUUAAUAAAGCAUUUCGAUCCCCUGUAAAGUAAAAGCGUAUGGGCUUUGUAAAAGGGGAAGCCGGAGGAGAGAAAGUUAAAAUAAAGUUGGAUUGUUGUUCAGGAGCCCACAUUUUAGCUACCAGACUGAUUCUUCCCUCCAUCUCCUCUUCUCCCUCCAUGAAAUCAUAUUGAGCUCCCAAGAAAUAACUGGGAGACCGCAUCGCUCCCGAUGUCGCCGGUUUUGGGGGUUUUAUACCCAGCUGCUGCUGGGUCACCCGUUACGAUCUGCUGUGGGGUCACAGCCAGAUAGUGGGAACCCCCCCCCGAAAAAAAAAUAAAACAAAAAAUCGUCUGAUGUCUGGGAGGGAUCUGCCUCCACCACAUCGAAGCAAGGCGGUAGGGUGGAAAAAGGGCACAGGUACGAGAAUGAAGUCCAGAAGGGAGAGUUUUUCUGUAAAAUGUGUAGCGAUAAAAGAAGGUGCGGUAAUAAAAUAGCAUAAAAGGGGGAAAUUCUUUCAGGCGGGCUCUUUCCGCACCGCUUUCCACCCCCCCCCCCCCCUCCCAUACACACAGACCCCGAGUCGGGCCGAUAUGGGGCAGACGGGACCUUGGCAGGAGAGCAACUCGUGGGAAAUGUGUUGGACGACCCGCAGUUUCUCUCUGCUUCUUAGCUCAGAACUGCGCAUCACGUCGCAAACGGGGCAGUUACCACGAGGAGGGGAUUUUUUCACCAUCCCCACACAGCUGCUUUUCCAGGAGCCUCCGCAGCAGAACGGACACCUCAAAAUCCCCAAUUGCGAUGGGUGCGAAGCUACAUCAUCCGAGAGCCGGCUGAAGAUAUUGGUUAUGCGGCGUAGGGGAAGCUGCGGGCCAGGAGGGGUGCGGGACACCCAUUGCUGGCUGCUGCCGACCUUUUUACACCCCCAAAAGAGGGCUGCAAUUGCUAAGGGGAAAACAAACAAACAACGCGACAACAACGCAACCAAACAUAAAAACCCCAAAUCACUACAGCAACUCAAAGAGUUCCCGGUGAUUGGAGACACCGUUUCCAAAAUGGCCCGAGCUGAGAGCGAGAAGAAAAAGGGGAAAAUUUGGUUCUUCGUUAGAACCUCGUUAGUCCAACUUCUUCGUUUGUAACAGUUCUCCUUCUGGAAUUAAGCCUUAAGGAAAGGAGUGAUGGAAACCUGUUAAAGCUCGUGAUGGUUUAUAGCCGCAACUGGUUCUGUAUUCGCGACACAUACUCAAAAAAUAAAACGGUGCGGAUUUUAGUAGCUAUUAAUGGA